rnacentral:lncRNA from 1 species
CGCGUUGAACUCGAACUCCGUGGAGCACUGCUGGAACUCACAGCCGCUGCCGCUCUCCUCCCCGCUGCUCUCUUCACGUCAAUGAAGUCGACGUCGUUCCCACUGUAUGCAUUCUUCAGCUUGUUGGUCAUCACCCUCAGAACCAUGAUUUGCCGACGAAUCACCAUGUCUGGCUUGGUAAUAUCGACUUCCACCUCAGGGUUGUUCACUUGACUUGCUAAGCCGUUUCCAGUCACCGCAAAGUCGUACCUGCUCUUGGCGCUCCCGUUCCAGCACUCAUUCUCGUUGCCCGUGCCCACAGAUAUCUUUUCAUCACUGCAAAUGUUGCCAGGGAGAGAUGACCAAAAUUUUUUGGCUUGCUUCAGCUUUUCUUUCACAUCAGUAACCAGCCUGUCCAAGCUCGUGCCUGCAGCUGUGGUCGGCCGCUCUUCGGGGUUGUAGGGUCUGAAGCGAGCACUGAAACCACCCUCAGAGACGGAGCGAGCGGUUCGGCCCUGUGCGAGUGUUUUUGGCUGGCCACAUCCCUGGAAAACCUUCUGAGACACUUGCAUGCUGUUCUCCUGCAUAUUCAUGAUUGCAUCUGAAAUUUUCACAUCAAUGGGGUCCAUGACUGACUCAAUGUUAAAAGGCCCCUCCAGCCUCUCUGCUACCAGCAGCAUCGAACCCAUAAAGAUAUUCCACUCGGCAUCCAAAUCCCCUUGGUUGGCCAAGCAGCCUCUCAUGACGUUAAAGCAGUAAUUGUAACAGGGCUUCACCGAUGUCAGACCUCGACAGUGCGGGCAGUACAUCAUUUUCAGCAGUGCCUGUGUACCCUGUGGUGUAGGGUUCACCGCAGACACUUUGCUGAUGACGUCCCUCGCCACAGCAAGGCCUUGCGCGAAGGUGCGGGCUGCCACAAAUGCUCGAGUCACUUGAAGCUUCAGCUUGCGCGGCACGUCCCCAAAGGGCUUCAGCUGCUCCGUGUACUUGCUGACACACUCAAGGUACUCAUCCGUGAAGUGGUACUGUGGGUUCACCAGCCGGAACAUGCGCUCCAACAGGCGCGCCCAGAAGUCGUUGAGCAUCUCCUCUAGGUUGACAUUGCCACCCACGUAGUACCGCUUCAGCUCCACGAAGAGGUCCUUGAACAGCUCUGAGUUCUGCAUGUACAACCGGCCGUACGUCCGCACAAACAUGUCGUUCAGUGACUUCUCAGCGUUCUCGAGAAGCUCUUUGAAGAACUCAUCAAACUUCUUGUAUCUGGAACUAAACAUCGUUUGCAAGUGAUUGCUAAGCUCUACAACGGCGUUUCUGAAGUCGUGUUUGCUCAGUUGACUGUAUCUCUCUUCCAUUUCUUGAGUGCAGCACGUGUAGGCUUGUGAGCAGACUUUCAAGUGGUCGCCGCUGAUCUCGUGGCUGGGCGCUUCGCUCUGGCUGAAGCCUUUGGCGGCGUAGAGCCUCCGCACUUCGGAGCAACUUUUAGCGCGGGGCUCGGCGGCCAGCAGCAGCGGCAGGCUGAGGGCGGCUAAAGUGCAGACGAGGGGCGGCAGGGAGCAGCGCCGCCGCGGCAUGGUGCGGGCGGGCGGGGGGGCCGCCGGGGCCGCGGCCGGGGCAGCGCGGCCCGAAGCCGGAGCCGGCCCUCCGCCGAGCCCGCGCCGCGCAGGAGCCGCGCCCGCUGCCGUGCACCCCUCUCCGCUCCGCUCCGGCUCCGCUCCGCUGGGCCGUGAGUGCGGCGGCGCUCUGCAAACUUGGCC